GACGAACGCUGGCGGCGUGCCUAAUACAUGCAAGUAGAACGCACAGUUUAUACCGUAGCUUGCUACACCAUAGACUGUGAGUUGCGAACGGGUGAGUAACGCGUAGGUAACCUGCCUGGUAGCGGGGGAUAACUAUUGGAAACGAUAGCUAAUACCGCAUAAUAUUAAUUAUUGCAUGAUAAUUAAUUGAAAGGUGCAAUUGCACCACUACCAGAUGGACCUGCGUUGUAUUAGCUAGUAGGUGAGGUAACGGCUCACCUAGGCGACGAUACAUAGCCGACCUGAGAGGGUGAUCGGCCACACUGGGACUGAGACACGGCCCAGACUCCUACGGGAGGCAGCAGUAGGGAAUCUUCGGCAAUGGACGAAAGUCUGACCGAGCAACGCCGCGUGAGUGAAGAAGGGUUUCGGAUCGUAAAGCUCUGUUGUAAGAGAAGAACGGGUGUGAGAGUGGAAAGUUCACACUGUGACGGUAUCUUAACAGAAAGGGACGGCUAACUACGUG
rnacentral:rRNA from 1 species